GCUCAGACGGGCUUGGCGCUCUGAGGUCUGCAGGCUGCUGCUGCCGCCUUCUCUCAGCCUGAGCAGAGCUUUUCCUCCCGCAGAGGACAGGCGUCCCCUCCGCGCUUCAGGAACAUCCUUUGGGAGACCUAGAGCAGCUUUUUCCGACGCCGUGCUUCCUCGAAAAAUCCGCCUCGGUCUGCCUGCGUGAAGAAGGAGCUGCGGUGAAGAGAGAGAGCCUCCCUUCUUCAGCUGUUACAUCCCAGAUAUUCCAGGGUCCGUUCUCCAAACAGCCGGCCUUCCAUCAGCCUUUUUUGGAGCUCUGUGUUUAUGAAUUAAGAAGUUUUCUCCUCACCGCAGGAUGAGCCGCCUCGCAGCAAAGGGCUGACACCGUCCAUGCAAUAUGCAUGAAGAUGACGGACAAUGCAGGAGGAAGUGAACACGCGGAGUGCAUUUUGAAUACAAAUGCUUAGGGAGAGUAUUGGCUGGAUGCGGAGCACUUAGCAGACCACCCAAGGCUAGUGGAAGUGUUUCCUGGUGUCCGGCUGAUCGGGCUAAAGGAUGUUUUCUAUGAUCCUGAGGCCCAGCCGGGCCAAUAGAGUGGAUGAUAUCUGCUGGAUGAGUGUGAGCUCUUAAAUGUAAGGAGGCCCUUUAAUAAGCUAAAGGUGCUUUUACGUAUAUGUUGCAUUUAACAUCAGUAAAUCAUCAGUAGAAUAAUUUAGAGCCAUUAUAAAAGGACCCUAAGUGAAGUGUAGCCAAUUUCAGAUUAACAGUUGACAGUUGUUUGGCUGAAAACAGAUUACAUUUGAGAAGUGUGGCUUUUUUCAAAACAGAAAAAAUGUUUUGUAGAAAAAACUGCUCAAAGAAAGGAAGUAUUAUUUUGGUUUUUGGUCAUGAGUCCUUUAUCUACAGUAGGUAUCAUGAGUCAUUUAGUAAUGCUGUAUUGAUGUUGAAAAUGGCACACGUGACAUCUGUUAAGGAGUUCCCCAAUAAUUGACACUGUUUCACAAAAAUCGAAGCCAAAGAAAUUCAAACUAACCCAUAAUUUGUUCUAAUUAAUGCAAAUGAAAGCUGAGUUAACGUAGAACCAAUGCUGUUCCAUUCAUAUGUGGCGCUUCUCUGCCUGACCAAGUGACAAGGUUACGGUAAGGGAGUUGAUUUCACCAUGUCAACGCUCAGCCCAGCCUUUUUCUUUAAUUUUUCCAUCAUUGAUCAUUGAUGAAUCCAAAACGCUUCCUCACAUUACUUCUCGGGUGGUUUCAUGUGGUGAUAAUUCAGCAUGGCGGUUUCUCCAUUUUGUGCCUAUCUAUAGUCUUCACUGUGAUUUGAGUGUAAUUUGUGUUUAAAUU